GGAACAAAGCUUGUUACCGAGGUGAAACGAAAGUGAACGUUCAAGCGACGAGUGAGAGAGAAUCGUUGAGUAAAGGUAACUCGCUAGAGCCGGUUCGGAUUCAGCGUCGCGGCGUGCUUCCGCUUUGAUUUGAGACCAAAGCCAUCCUUCGUCUUCGAAAUUGCAGUUUACGGCGGAGUUCGCCGUCGCUUUUGGUGGUGAUGUGUAGCGGAGUUCGCCGGUCGGCAUUGAUCGGCGAUUGGCGGUGGUGUGUGGUGGUGGCGUUAGUUUGAG
rnacentral:lncRNA from 1 species